rnacentral:rRNA from 1 species
CAGUCGCCACGGUAACACGUAGGGUGCAAGCGUUAAUCGGAAUUACUGGGCGUAAAGCGUGCGCAGGCGGUGUUGUAAGACUGAUGUGAAAUCCCCGGGCUCAACCUGGGAACUGCAUUGGUGACUGCAACGCUGGAGUGCGGCAGAGGGGGAUGGAAUUCCGCGUGUAGCAGUGAAAUGCGUAGAUAUGCGGAGGAACACCGAUGGCGAAGGCAAUCCCCUGGGCCUGCACUGACGCUCAUGCACGAAAGCGUGGGGAGCAAACAGGAUUAGAUACCCGCGUAGUCCCUGUCUCUUAUAC